rnacentral:misc_RNA from 1 species
GAUGAAGAACGCAGCGAAAUGCGAUAAGUAAUGUGAAUUGCAGAAUUCAGUGAAUCAUCGAAUCUUUGAACGCACAUUGCGCCCGCCAGUAUUCUGGCGGGCAUGACUGUCCGAGCGUCAUUUCAACCCUCGAACCCCUCCGGGGGGUCGGCGUUGGGGACCUCGGGAGCCCCUAAGACGGGAUCCCGGCCCCGAAAUACAGUGGCGGUCUCGCCGCAGCCUCUCCUGCGCAGUAGUUUGCACAACUCGCACCGGGAGCGCGGCGCGUCCACGUCCGUAAAACACCCAACUUCUGAAAUGUUGACCUCGGAUCAGGUAGGAAUACCCGCUGAACUUAAGCAUAUCAAUAAGCGGAGGA